rnacentral:rRNA from 1 species
UACGUAGGGUGCAAGCGUUGUCCGGAAUUAUUGGGCGUAAAGAGUUCGUAGGCUGCACAGAAAGUAGGGUGUGAAAGCCCUCGGCUCAACCGAGGAAUUGCGCUCUAAACUGCUGUGCUUGAGGAACCUAGAGGUGAGCAGAACUGAUGGUGGAGCGGUGAAAUGCGUUGAUAUCAUCAGGAAUACCGGAGGCGAAGGUGGCUCACUGGGGGUUUUCUGACGCUGAGGAACGAAAGCCAGGGGAGCGAACGGG